rnacentral:rRNA from 1 species
UACGGAGGGUGCAAGCGUUGCUCGGAAUUAUUGGGCGUAAAGGGUAGGUAGGUGGUCUCAUUUGUCUGGGGUGAAAGCCUUGGGCUUAACCGGGGAACUGCGUCUGAUACUGGAUGGCUUGAGUUUGGGAGAGGGACGCGGAAUUCCAGGUGUAGCGGUGAAAUGCGUAGAUAUCUGGAGGAACACCGGUGGCGAAGGCGGCGUCCUGGACCAACACUGACACUGAUGAGCGAAAGCCAGGGGAGCAAACGGG